AUGGAAACUAAGAUCACAGGAAGCUGGACAGGAGAGUCUAUGUAUCACGUCUCUUCUGGUUUGUCUUCAGGCAAGAGCAGUGAUGCUCAAAAAGGGAUGAUCAAACACUUAACAGUUUCAAUACUAUAUCCAGGAACAACCUAUGCAGUGGACAUGCUUCAGUGAAAAAGACCAGAAAUUUCUUCUAGAAUUUUAAUACAGUCGUAACAGUUAUAGGAAAGACACCUGCAGACAAAACAGUAUAUUUGUGGAGGAUUUAGUGGAAAAUGACUUGUUUUUUCUAGACUGGAAGCAUGUCAGUACUGUCUCUGUUGCUGAUGCAUUGUUUGAAGAGAGACAGUUCAACAAGCCAGUCCUUGUAAGCACUGACAGACCUUGUUGUAGGUAACUAUGGAGUUUCAGGGUGCUAUUUGUUGGUCAGUCACUCUUGUAAUCUGCCAGUUAUACUUAAUCAAAAUGUAGCUGAAGAGGCAAAAGUGGAAAACCUCUCAUUUUUAAUAUGUCUCGUAUAAUAAUUUCAAGGAGCCAGAGGAUAAGCAUUCAAUCUAAAGAUAGCACAUUCAUUAUUACUUAUUAGAUGUAAAAGCUUGUGCUAUAUGUUUAACAACUGUCUUUGUAUGUGGAGUUAUGGAAACCAAAUUGUAAAUGUUCACAUUGAGUUACUGUAAGAGUCUGCUGCUCGGAUUGUUCCAUUUCUGGAAUGAAAGACCAGGAACUUUUUCUUGGUUGGAGUAGAGUCAAAAUGCUUUUACUAAAUGCAUGUAACAAUUCUUAUCCUCAUCUCUACAGGAUUAUUUAUACUUUUUUUGGGUGCAAGCUUUUUUUGGUUUCGAUCUUUUUGCAUUAAGCACAUCUGCAC
rnacentral:lncRNA from 1 species